GAAUCCUGUUUCCUCGAGACCAGGGGUCUCAAACUUCAGUCCUGGAGGGCUGCUGUCUCAGCUGGCUUUUGUGAUUUCCGUUCAGUCAGUAGCCAAUUUAAACCUCGGAAACAAGCUAAGAUGUACAUCAUAUGUAUGUAUCCAUGUAUGUGUGUUUGAAUGUAUGUGUAUUAUUGUCUCAUACAUUUAUAUGCAUUAUUAUUAUCAGUUACUCAUAAAAGACACAGUAAAAAAGAUAUUGUAUCUCAACAAAAAACAUGUUUUCAAUGUACAAAACUGCCAAGCACCGUCUAAGUCAUUCAUUAAAACUUGGAAAAUA